AACGGCGAGUGAAGCGGCAAAAGCUCAAAUUUGAAAUCUGGCCCCUUCGGGGCCCGAGUUGUAAUUUGUAGAGGAUGCUUCGGGCGUGGCCGCGGUCUAAGUCCCCUGGAACGGGGCGUCGCAGAGGGUGAGAAUCCCGUCUUCGGCCGGCCGGCUUCGCCCAUGUGAAGCUCCUUCGACGAGUCGAGUUGUUUGGGAAUGCAGCUCUAAAUGGGUGGUAAAUUUCAUCUAAAGCUAAAUACUGGUCGGAGACCGAUAGCGCACAAGUAGAGUGAUCGAAAGAUGAAAAGCACUUUGAAAAGAGAGUUAAACAGCAUGUGAAAUUGUUGAAAGGGAAGCGCUUGCGACCAGAGUCGGCCGCGGGGGUUCAGCGGGCAUUCGUUGCCCGUGCACUCCCCCGUGGCCGGGCCAGCGUCGGUUUCGACGGUCGGUCAAAGGCCCCCGGAAUGUGUCACCCUUCGGGGUGUCUUAUAGCCGGGGGUGCAAUGCGGCCAGUCGGGACCGAGGAACGCGCUUCGGCACGGACGCUGGCUUAAUGGUCGUAAGCGACCCGUCUUGAAACACGGACCAAGGAGUCUAACAUCCACGCGAGUGUUCGGGUGUCAAACCCGUCCGCGCAGUGAAAGCGAACGGAGGUGGGAACCCUUAAGGGUGCACCAUCGACCGAUCCAGAAGUCUUCGGAUGGAUUUGAGUAAGAGCGUGGCUGUUGGGACCCGAAAGAUGGUGAACUAUGCCUGAAUAGGGUGAAGCCAGAGGAAACUCUGGUGGAGGCUCGCAGCGGUUCUGACGUGCAAAUCGAUCGUCAAAUUU
rnacentral:rRNA from 1 species